AUUGAACGCUGGCGGCAGGCUUAACACAUGCAAGUCGAGCGGAGAUGAGGUGCUUGCACCUUAUCUUAGCGGCGGACGGGUGAGUAAUGCUUAGGAAUCUGCCUAUUAGUGGGGGACAACACUCCGAAAGGAAUGCUAAUACCGCAUACGUCCUACGGGAGAAAGCAGGGGAUCUUCGGACCUUGCGCUAAUAGAUGAGCCUAAGUCGGAUCAGCUAGUUGGUGGGGUAAAGGCCUACCAAGGCGACGAUCUGUAGCGGGUCUGAGAGGAUGAUCCGCCACACUGGGACUGAGACACGGCCCAGACUCCUACGGGAGGCAGCAGUGGGGAAUAUUGGACAAUGGGGGGAACCCUGAUCCAGCCAUGCCGCGUGUGUGAAGAAGGCCUUAUGGUUGUAAAGCACUUUAAGCGAGGAGGAGGCUACUGAGACUAAUACUCUUGGAUAGUGGACGUUACUCGCAGAAUAAGCACCGGCUAACUCUGUGCCAGCCGCCGCAGUAA
rnacentral:rRNA from 1 species